ACAUGCAAGUCGAACGGAAGUCGUUAUAAAAAGGAUUGAGGAUUUAUCCGAUUGAGAUUUUAUAACAAUGGCUUUAGUGGCGGACUGGUGAGUAACGCGUGAGCAACCUGCCUACUAGAGGGGAAUAACAGUGAGAAAUCACUGCUAAUACCGCAUAUGCCAUGAACAUCACAUGAUGAAAAUGGGAAAAGAGUAAUCUGCUAGUAGAUGGGCUCGCGUCUGAUUAGAUAGUUGGUGGGGUAACGGCCUACCAAGUCGACGAUCAGUAGCCGGACUGAGAGGUUGAACGGCCACAUUGGGACUGAGAUACGGCCCAGACUCCUACGGGAGGCAGCAGUCGGGAAUAUUGCGCAAUGGAGGAAACUCUGACGCAGUGACGCCGCGUAUAGGAAGAAGGUUUUCGGAUUGUAAACUAUUGUCGUUAGGGAAGAUAAAAGACAGUACCUAAGGAGGAAGCUCCGGCUAACUACGUGCCAGCAGCCGCGGUAAUACGUAGGGAGCAAGCGUUAUCCGGAUUUAUUGGGUGUAAAGGGUGCGUAGACGGGUUAGCAAGUUAGCUGUGAAAGCCCUCGGCUUAACUGAGGAACUGCAACUAAGACUGUUAAUCUUGAGUGUUGGAGAGGAAAGUGGAAUUCCUAGUGUAGCGGUGAAAUGCGUAGAUAUUAGGAGGAACACCGGUGGCGAAGGCGACUUUCUGGACAAUAACUGACGUUGAGGCACGAAAGUGUGGGGAGCAAACAGGAUUAGAUACCCUGG
rnacentral:rRNA from 1 species